GAAAAAAACAAAACAAAACAAAACAAAACAAGAAGAACCUCAUAUUUGUAGGCGCCCUACUACUGAGUUGGGUGUAUUGUAUUUCCAAUUUUCUCCUCUUGCUUUU
rnacentral:ribozyme from 1 species